UACAGAGGUCCCAAGCGUUGUUCGGAUUCAUUGGGCGUAAAGAGCUCGUAGGUGGUUCGGUAAGUCGGGUGUGAAACCUCCAGGCUCAACCUGGAGACGCCACCCGAUACUGCUGUGACUAGAGUCCAGUAGGGGAGCGUGGAAUUCCUGGUGUAGCGGUGAAAUGCGCAGAUAUCAGGAGGAACACCAGUGGCGAAGGCGGCGCUCUGGGCUGGCACUGACACUGAGGAGCGAAAGCGUGGGGAGCGAACAGG
rnacentral:rRNA from 1 species